GUCAAUUAUCACCCAGUCAAGUUGACUCCUGGCAGAUGACAAAAAGAAAAGUCUCUAGGGACUGAGAGAACAUCUCAAUCUUAAUCCCCAUUUUACAGAUGAGGUAACUGGGGCACAGAGAACUUAAGUGACUUGCCAAGAUUCUUUGCACCUUUUGUCCAGAAUCCUUUGGCAUCUGCUGAAGUGUCAUUGAUAAGGUGAGUCCAUGCAAGAGAGGAUCGAAGACUGGACCGAAGAGGGAAAGAAAUUUGGGGAAAAUUUUCAGGUCAAAGUGCUCAAGCUUGUGGAAAGUGGUGACUUAUGGAAAUUCUUUCUGCUAACCAGGAAACAUUGC
rnacentral:lncRNA from 1 species